rnacentral:ncRNA from 1 species
AACGUGCUCCGGGGUCGGUGAAAGUCCGAGCCGGCGGUGACAGUCCGCGACCCGCGCUUCGGCGCGGUUGACCUGGUGGAACUCCGGGACCGACGGUGAAAGUCCGGAUGGGAGGAACACGUG